rnacentral:rRNA from 1 species
AUGCAAGUCGAACGGAAAGGCCCUUCGGGGUACUCGAGUGGCGAACGGGUGAGUAACACGUGGGUGAUCUGCCCUGCACUUUGGGAUAAGCCUGGGAAACUGGGUCUAAUACCGAAUAUGACCACGCGCUUCAUGGUGUGUGGUGGAAAGCUUUUGCGGUGUGGGAUGGGCCCGCGGCCUAUCAGCUUGUUGGUGGGGUAAUGGCCUACCAAGGCGACGACGGGUAGCCGGCCUGAGAGGGUGACCGGCCACACUGGGACUGAGAUACGGCCCAGACUCCUACGGGAGGCAGCAGUGGGGAAUAUUGCACAAUGGGCGCAAGCCUGAUGCAGCGACGCCGCGUGAGGGAUGACGGCCUUCGGGUUGUAAACCUCUUUCAAUAGGGACGAAGCGCAAGUGACGGUACCUAUAGAAGAAGGACCGGCCAACUACGUGCCAGCAGCCGCGGUAAUACGUAGGGUCCGAGCGUUGUCCGGAAUUACUGGGCGUAAAGAGCUCGUACGUGGUUUGUCGCGUUGUUCGUGAAAACUCACAGCUUAACUGUGGGCGUGCGGCCGAUACGGGCAGACUAGAGUACUGCAGGGGAGACUGGAAUUCGUGGUGUAUGGGUGGAAUGCCCAAAUGUCACGACG